rnacentral:rRNA from 2 species
AGUACAGGCGGUUAAUAGCCGAAACCGCGGACAGCUCAUUAUAUCAGUAGUAAUCCGCAAGACUCGUAUCCUAAAAAAUGGAUACCUAUAGCAAAUCUAGAGCUAAUACGCUUUCAAGUUUCGUUUCGCCGAAUAUAACAAAGUGUCCCGCUAAUAACGGGCCUGUCUAUACUAAAGGCGUGCGAACAGCACUUAUUAGAACCAUUUGCCUAAGGGUAACCAUGGUGACUCCGGAUAUUUAGUUGCUAAGCGCUAUGGUCGAGUACCAACGCUAGUCUAUGCGAGCUUCUGACCUAUCAGCCAGAUGGUUAGAUAAAGGCUAACCAUGGCUUUGACGGGUAACGGGGAAUCUGGGUUCGAUUCCGGAGAGGGAGCCUGAUAAACGGCUACCACAUCUAAGGAAGGCAGCAGGCGCGGAAUUUAACCUAAUGCUAGCUCUGUGAGUUAGUGACGAAAAAUCUUGAUGUGAGGUUCUUAACGGAGCCUUACAAUUGAAAUGAGUUUAUUGUAAAUUCUUAUUACGACAAACUACCGGAGGGCAAGCCUGGUGCCAGCAGCCGCGGUAAUUCCAGCUCCAUUAGCGUAAUCUAAUAUUGCUGCGGUUAAAGUGUUCGUAGUUGGCUUUUUGAGUCUUGGUCCGUGUCACUUCAUCGAGGCGUCGUCUUUUUUCGGGUUUAUAUUUAUAUUUUGAUCGACCCGCUAAAAAAGCGAGCCUCAUGAAUAACGCGGUCGCUAAGGCGAUACAAAACAGAAACGGGAGUAUACGCGCUCUUAAAUAAGAGUCGAACUCUCAAAAAAAAGUGCUCGGUACUCGGUAUGCUCUUAAGUGAGUGCACCUUGGAACCGGCAUUAUUCACUUUAAUAAAAGUGGAGUGUUUAUAACAGGUCUAUAAAAACUAUUUCGUGCGCUUUGCUAAAAACGUCUAGCACGAUAAAAUAAGACUUUGGUUCCAACUAUAUAUAUAUAAAAAAAUAGGCUUUUCCAAAAAAUAACGUUGGAACCCAAAGUAAUGAUUAAAGAGAACUGCCGGGGAUAUUAGUAUUGCAGCGCGAGAGGUGAAAUUCUGUGACCGUUGCAAGACUACCUAACGCGAAAGCAUUUAUCAAGAAUGUUUUUAUUAAUCAUGAUCUAAAGUUAGAGGAUCGAAGGCGAUCAGAUACCGCCCUAGUUUUAACCAUAAACUAUGCCAACUUGCAAUCCGCUUUUGUACGAUUAAAAGAGCAAAGCGGGAUCCCCCGGGAAACCAAAGUUUCUAAGUCCCGGGGGGAGUAUAGUUGCAAAGCUGAAACUUAAAGGAAUUGACGGAAGGGCACCACCAGGAGUGGAGCCUGCGGCUUAAUUUGACUCAACACGGGGAAACUCACCAGGUCCGGACCCCGUAAGGAUUGACAGAUUAAAAGCUUUUUCUUGAUUUGGUGUAAGGUGGUGCAUGGCCGUUUUUAGUUGGUGGAGUGAUUUGUCUGGUUGAUUCCGAUAACGAACGAGAUUCUUGCCUCCUUAUUUGUGGUCAGAUCGAGUCCUAAGGCGCGGUUUAAAUUUUCCGAGGCUUUCCCGCGGGAGAUAAAUAAAGGGUGAGCCGACGUAAAAAUGGAUUAUUAUUUUUUUUUAUAAAAGCGUUUGGCUCCCCCCCCUAAAAAAUCGCCUCGCGUGGUCCAGCCGAGGAAAACCAGCCUGAGGCUGUUUGACGAAAUACACCAUAUUCAAUUGGCGGUAUUGGCGGUGUCCAGCCGUAAUAAAAAGAGCAAUAACAGGUCUGUGAUGCCCUUAGAUGUUCUGGGCUGCACGCGCGCCACAAUGAAGCGUGCAGCGUGCUUUCCCAUUCAGAAAUGAAGUGGCAAUCAUUUUAAACCGCUUCCCGAUUGGGAUUGCGGAUUGUAAGUUUUCCUCAUAAACGAGGAAUUCCUUGUACACGCAGGUCGUAAAGCUGAGCG